rnacentral:lncRNA from 1 species
CUUGAAUAUUAUUAUAGAUAGAGAUAAACUGUAAACAGCAAUAAUGUACAGCAAAGUAAGAACUAAAAAUAAGUCAGUAUGACCAAAAUAGUCAAUUGACCCCCUAAGGAGUUAUUGCCCUUCAUAGUCAAUUUUUAACAAUUUUCUUAAAAUUUGAAGAUUUUCAAAUAAUUUUCCACAGAAAGUACUGUUAUAGAUAGAGAUAAUUGUAAGCAGCAAGAAUGUUUAGUAAAGUAAGAUCUACAAACACAUCACCAUCACCAAAACACAAUUUUGUCAUGAAUCCAUCUGUGUCCAUUGUUUAAUAUUCACAUAGACC